CAGUUGUCACCGCGUCAGUCCUGGGCAGCCGCCAGAGCAACCCCUCCCCCCUUGGCAGGCAACUUCUUCCAAGUGCCCCCUAGGAAGGACCCUCCCCCUGCCACUCUCCCUCCACCCUACGCCCCAACUCUCCCCUCUCGAGCCUCGCCCUAGCUGCGGGGCACAAAACGGGGGGUGGGGGGGAGAGAAAAAAAUCUCAAUCUGUUGGAAACUUUGCUCCUUCACUUCGGCCACCCCCCUGCCCUGGCCCGCACCCCUGCGCCCUCCCAAGCUUCUUGGCAGCGAAGGUCAGGCCACUGGCAAAAUCCUCCAGUUUGAGCCAGCUGGUGACAAAUGCCAACUGUAUGUCGGGGCGGGGGCGGGGGGGCAGUGAAGUCUUCUCAUCUGUGCCGGCUCUCCAAGACAGUUUCGGGGUUCCCCGGAGACGGCGGCGGACCCGGGCGGGCCCCCGCUGGGCGCGUGCAGGGGAAGGCAAGCCGCGGGCGUCCUGGGAGUGAUUUUUCCCACCUGGACUUUUCAUGUUCUAAGGGUUUGCACCAAGCCCAGGGUGCAGGCAGGCAGAGAGUUCUCUCCCCUUCCAGGAGGGGUGCCGGGAGUUCGGUGUCGAGUUCUAGGUAGGAAGGGAACCGCCUCGACUGAAAAUCCUAACUUGGGCGAAGAAGUUCUGAGGUUCCACCCGACCUCGUGACCUUUCUCAUUCUUUAAACUUCUGCUCUACGGGGAAGCAGCCAGCGACUCGAAAAGAGUUGACCUGCUCAUUAUUUUCCCAGCAGUGUGCUGGAACUUCUCUGCUGGACUUCUGAACUUCCGUAAAGGCCCUGUCAUCUAUAGAACACAACUUCAUGGUUCCUGAGAAAUUUUGAUUCCACUGCUCGAAAAACUCUAAAGAAAAUUAUCAAUAAAUGUUGAUGGAAACUGUCUGUGCUUGAGAAUAACCAGUUUAGAAAAUGCCUUCAAGAUAUCUUCUCAGAAAUGACCUUUAGAGUAUCAACUCUUUUCUGUGAGCUUCAAGAUCACUUCAGCCCGUUGUGCAGACCAGCAGAGACUGCAGCUCUGUGAGCAUCGACAUGCAGGAGAGAAGGAGAGCUGCAGCUGAGCUGGCUUAUGAAGGAGACCUGCAGUCAGAGAAAACGCUCACUUCCGGGGGAUUGGAAACGAAACAUCCAACAGACUAAAGGAUCAAAGAAUCAAAUAUCUACAACUAAGCAGAUUUGGUCAUUGUGUGUGAAAAUUGCAAGACUCUGGGAACUGGAAGUUCAUGUCUGUGUGCUUCUUGAACUGUACACUGGGUAGGGUAACUUCAGCUACUGACCCUUAACGAAGCCAAAGGAGAUUUCAAACGUUUAAAUCUUUACGAGGUAAAGUGGAAGAGAAUAGAGUAUCUCCAAAAUCAUCACUUAUCACCAGGAUGAGAAAAAAAAUAGACAAAAAAAUGAUUAAUGAGAAAUUAUUGUGAUUCCUUUUAUAUUCUUAUUAUUUUUGCCCAAGGCCUCUCUCUUUAGGUACUUAAAGCAGAAAAAUGAAACAAAAACCAAAUUUUCAUUUGUAGGCAGACAAAAAAUUAAAUGACUCACCUUGAUUUCUAGUAACACACCAAUUCGUACAUAACCAAAAGACAGACUUCAUUGUUUAAAGACUACUUGGGGCCGAUUAAGUAAAAAGAUGAUGCAAUCUAAUAUGCGAUUAAGAGAGAUAAAAUAUUCUCUAUAGGAAGGCAUUCCUAUCAUGUCCAAUCAAAGUCUAGCCAAAUGGUGAAACUUAGAAAUGUUAUCAAGCAUUAGCAGGCAUUUAAAGAACGUCUCUUGAAUAUUUCUAGCAAAGAAAGUAUUUCAUGUGAUGUAAAUGAAUGGUAAUUUUCCGACUUUAAAAGAGAGCUGUGCCAGUACAUUUCAGCGUUCUGGACCCAAUUCUGCAAACAUGGAGACGCUUUCAAUUUGCUCUGCCUGCCUUCCCGCCUUAGAUGGCUGUGAUUGCAACGAAAUUAAUCCAUUUAAAAAUCUGCGGCUUAAACUUAAGGAUUUUCAGUUUUUUCCCCCUUCUCUCUCUCUCUCUCUUUUUUUUUCUUAGAAUAUCAAUAAGUUCCAAUUGAAGAGCGGAUUCUUUUGCAAUUCAGGCAUGUGCCGGCGAUAACGGGCGAGUUGGCAUGAAGAGAGGCAGAGAUGGAUUAAUUAUGCAGAGAACAUGGAAAUUCUGCUUAUCAUCGGCUAGCAAAGGAGCCCGGCUCACAUAAUCAGCAAACGAAGGGAGAGGAAAAAAUAACAAUGCAAUGGCACCUUCCAGCCCGUCAUCAGGAUUUUUUCUACCCCCCUUGUAAUUAAAAAAUAACAUACACUUAUAGCCCUAUCUCCUCUGCAGGCAAGGAGUGGAUGUCCACAAAAUAAUUGCACUGGGAUAUUAGAGCUGGCAGCAUGGGCUGUCCAUUCCUGCUUGCUCUCCCUCUUACCCUCUCUUUCUCUUUUUGGCCUCUCAAGGCACUUUGCUUCUGAACCUGGUCCAAAUCGGAAUGUCUCAGGUGACAUUCUAGCUCACUUUCCCCAAAUCCCAAAUACCACCUUAUCAUGAUCCCAGAAAACACACAUACAUAUAUGAAAAUAUUUGAAGGAAUGAUUUGGGGGAGACUUUGGAACUGAUCACCUGUGGACUAGCUGAUCAAUUUAAUGUUUUGAUGAAGCCUGUCCCUAUAGCCUUCAUUUUGCAUAGUGGCUGGAUUAAAAUGCUGGGCUGUGCGACUGUGCUAAUCUCCUCAAAUCCUUAGACUUAUUUACUACUUUUAUUUCUAUUCCCUUUACCAAUUUCUCAUAAAAUUUGAAUAUAUAUGUGUAUAUAAUGAAUGACUACAAUGUUUGUGCCCCUGAUUCACAAUCCUAUAUUGUUUCUGUAAGAUCUGACAGUUUAAUGCUUUGUAUUUCUCUAAAUGCCAGAAGAAACUACAAUGAACCUUCUUUAUUGUUUUAUAGAA